CUCCAACCCAAGCGCUGACACCAUAUCAGGAACAUCCAAAGGGAAGAUAAUUAAAACCUGCAAGAAAACCAGCUGGCAGAGUAAAGGAAAAUCUUAGUGACUUAGGGACGACGCCACAUGUUUAUGGCAGGAGAAAUGUGCACGCUACAGGCAUCUGUCACCAAGGCCAGAGCAACUUCCCAGUGUGGCAACUGUACAGAUAGCUUCAGAAUGAGAUUUUAGAAAUUAUAAAAUUCUUUAAGAAGAAAAGAUGUCUUCAUAUAAGAAAAGGCAAGAGAAGCCUACGAAAGUAAUAUAAAGCAUUAGUCUUUGCACCCCAUAAAAAUCCAUUCCCUGAUCCCUCUUGGUUGAUAGAAGAGGAAAUAUAAUGCUGACAAAAAUACAACUUCUGACAAGAUAUUUUAUUUGGCUUACCUCUCCCCCAGGUCUUGCUAACACUGCUGUUUGAACGUGGAGAAAUGUUAAUAUCAGGUAGCUGACAAACAUUAUUACCCAAAGUUAGAACUACCCUAGAGGAGAACUCCGUCUGCCAAGUGCUAACAGCUAGCAGAUGCACUUGUGUCUCGGGAUUCCAGCCCUGGAGUUCCGCUAGGCACCGCGCUGGUUCCCUCGGCUCUCCCUCACUGUACUACCCGGCGCUUCAAGCUCAGCCUCUGCUCUGAAGAAAACUGAGUCUGGAGGAGUACAAACCCCAGCCAGAGGAUGUCUCUAUCAUUCCCACCCAGGUAGGGACUUCUGCUCUUGGAAAAAUGCCUCCCUUUGUCUGAGAAACAGAGCAGAUCAUCACAUCACGUUCCUGAGAACAGUGGAUCCCAUAUUUAAUGGUUUAAAGCUGACAGACGAAAGAUUCCAAGGACACCACCUGUAUCCCAUUUCAGUGGAGAAAUGCUAACCAUUCAUUCAGAAAUGCUAACCAUGACUAAGCAUUCAGCUUCCCCGUUUCCUGUGGUACAUGCCCCAGAGUGUCUUCACUUGAUCAAAAACCCUUGGCGGGCCCAGGAUGGAGUUUCGCUCUUGUUACCCAGGCUGGAGUGCAAUGGCGCGAUCUCGGCUCACCGCAACCUCCGCCUCCUGGGUUCAGGCAAUUCUCUUGCCUCAGCCUCCUGAGUAACUGGGAUUACAAGCACGCGCCACUAUGCCCAGCUAAUUUUUUGUAUUUUUAGUAGAGGUUUCACCAUGUUGACCAGGAUGGUCUCAAUCUCUUGACCUCAUGAUCCACCCGCCUCGGCCUCCCAAAGUGCUGGAUUACAGGUGUGAGCCACCGUGCCCGGCCACCUAAACCUUUUGACCUAGAAUUUCUACUUUUAGAGCGUUCCUUGAGGAAAUACUGAACAAAUGACCAAAUGUGUUAUGUCCAAGAUGUUCUCUUGUAGGAGGUUAGUAGGUAGUAACUAAAAACUGCAAACAACUUAAAUAUGUACCAGCAGAGGUAUGGUUAAACGAAUUUGGAUAUAUCCAUCCAUGGGAUGUGAUGUAUCCAACAGAAAUAGCCUCUGAGAGAGAGAAAUGUUCACUGAUAUGUUGUUUAAAAGGCACAUUAUAAAACAGCACAUAUAGUAUGAUCCCAUUUUUGUUUAAAGUUUUAUUUACUGAAAAACAAUAACAGAUCAGAGAUUAUCACGGGACAAUAAGAUCAUAGGAGAUUUUAAUUUUUCUUCUUAUAUGUAUAUUUUCUUUCUGCAGUGGAUACAUAUUACAUCAUGAAGAGUUUUUAAAGGAUCUUAAGAAUAAAACAACUUUAUUAUUUACUCAGCAACGAAAAACAAACUAUUGAUUCAACACCAUAGAUGAAUCUCAGAAACAUUAUGUUGAUCAAAAGCAGCUAAACACACAAGAAUUGAUCUCUAACAUUCCAUUUAUAUGCAGCUCUAGGAGAGGUGAGACUGGUGAUAAAUAUCCCAAGGUAGAUACCAAGAAGAGAAUAACUUUAAUACCUCCUCUACUGGCAGGCCAGUUGGAUGAUGAUGCUUAUCUCUCCUACAUCUGUCAAGCCCUCCUAAUUACUCCUGCAGGUGGCCACAAUGGAAACAGCCUCUUUCCAUCACAGGUGCCAUUAUGAGCGUCAUGCCCAGGACAGAAAUGUGACCUUGGUGACUACUGCCCUUCCUUUCUCCUGAUACCUGGCUUCCUUCUGCUCCCUGGCUGCUGUGCCUCAUUCUUCCUCACUUUCCUUCUAAACUGAGAGACUGAUGUAGCCAAAGGGGCCCUAGCUCUGACCUCUGUUUGCCUGAGUUCAAGCACUGGCUCAUUUAUUUAAGCAAGUAGGUCAAUUCCCCUAAAGCAAGUAAGUCAAUUUCCCUAAACUGAGGUCACUUUCUGGUUUUUAUCAUCAUAAUCCCACCUCUCCUAGAGCGGCAUAUAAAUGGAAUGUUACAGAUCAAUUCUUGUGUGUUUGGCUUCUUUGGUUCAAUACAAUGUUUCUGAGAUUCAUCCAUGGUGUUUAAUCGUUUGCUUUUUGUUGCUGAGUAUAUCUAUUGCAUGCAUAAGCUACAACUGAUCUAUUUACCUACUGAUAGAUCGUUGGGUUGUUUCCAGUUUUGAGCUAUUAUGAAUAAAGCUGCUAAUAAUAAUCACGUUCAA